UGGCUGGCCAAUGGUAUACAGGCAGACCAGCUCUCCAGAAAAAAAUUCCAAACACCCCAAAACAACAAAACCCUGAUUUGUAGCAUUUGCUGAUUCCUGUGUGUAAACUUUCCUCACAUGGCCACUUUCAAGCUCCCGACAUGACGUCAGUGAAUGAAGAGCUGGAAAGACAGAAGCAGGACGGGCUCUCAUGAACCGGUUCAAGCCGGCUGCCCGAUACUUGGCACAAGAGCCGUGCUCAGUAAAUAAUGCUUGAGUGAAAGAAUAAAUGAAUUAUCAUUAGCGUGAGCCAUUAUUCCGUUAAAGUGCCUGGUGAAUCUAAAGUUUUAGGAAUGAAGAAGGAGAGGAGGUCAGAGAAGGUGUGUGGCUUGCUGGAUGGUGAACAAGUGAUCAGCAGUGAAUCCAGCGAGGAGGAAGAGCUCCCUAAGCUCUGAGCUCAGCACAGGGACGGGAACAUGGGCCAGAUGAGGAAGGCGAGGCUGGUGACUUGGGGCUGCAGACCAUCAGACAUCUGAAUUCAGAGCUCCUGCUUCCUGAUGCACUGUACUUGAGCACGCUCUACAGCCUGUGGUCCUGUCCGCCCUGGAAACACAUUCUCUGCAUUUACCUCAUGUGCCAUUUUGGGAAAUGUGAGAGACAAGGCCCUAUUCAUUGAGCAUGUGUGCUCAUAUAUAAAUGUCAGAGUAGAAACAAA